GAUGAAGAACGUAGCGAAAUGCGAUAAGUAAUGUGAAUUGCAGAAUUCAGUGAAUCAUCGAAUCUUUGAACGCACCUUGCGCUCCUUGGUAUUCCGAGGAGCAUGCCUGUUUGAGUGUCAUGAAAUUCUCAACCCUUUCAGCUUUCUUUGUUGAUCAGGCUUGGAUGUGGGAGUAUGCGGGCUUCUCAGAAGUCGGCUCUCCUGAAAUGCAUUAGCGGGACCUUUGUUGCCUGGCUUUGGUGUGAUAAUUAUCUACGCCAUUGUAGUCAAGCAGCUUAAAAUGAGGUUUCAGCUUCUAACCGUCUCCCCUGAGACAACUUUUUGACAAUUUGACCUCAAAUCAGGUAGGACUACCCGCUGAACUUAAGCAUAUCAAUAAGCGGAGGA
rnacentral:misc_RNA from 1 species